AUAUUUAAACCUAACCAUACCUUUUUCUGAGAAGACAAUUUCUGUGCCAUAGAAUCCACAUACGAAUUUAAGUAACGUUCGUUAUUUGCUUCCUGCACUAAUUCAGUAUAUUGCUUUUCUUUUAUAUAUACUCGUAGCAACUGAACUCCUACAGGCAAAUGAAAUUCUGUAUCUACUCUCUCUGCAGGCGCCUGAUGAAAAAAUAUUCAAGUUAGGACGAUUCUAAGGCAAACUGAAUGUGGUGGAGAAAAUGAUGUUGCUAAGAAUUGAUUAAUACCCAUUAAUUGGCCUGCUAAAGCGAGUCUUUGGGUAGGUGAUACCCAUGCCGGAUGAAAGUACAUAACUGCUUCUCCAGGAUCAUCUUCUUCUUUGCAACAUCUUGAUGUGUCAAAAACGAAUACUAUCAUCAUUUCCCUGCGAGUAGAGAAUUAUACGAUAUAACACAGAAUAGUAUAAUUAAAAUCAUUAGAAUGUAUUUUACAUGAAAUGUUUAGAAAGAUCGACAAGUUUUUUCUAUUUGUUCAUUUUUAUAUAGCAUUACACUACGUGUAAGAAAUAUUUAUACUUUAAUCGCGCAAUACAUACAAAUUAGAAUCUAAAUACAUAAAUACAAAUAAUAAUUUGAUUACACAAA